rnacentral:rRNA from 1 species
UACAGAGGUGCCGAGCGUUAGGCGGAAUCACUGGGCUUAAAGCGUGUGUAGGCGGACGCCUAAGUACCUUGUGAAAUCCCACGGCUCAACCGUGGAACUGCUGGGUAUACUGCCUGUCUUGAGCCAGCCAGGGGCAGUCGGAACAGACGGUGGAGCGGUGAAAUGCGUAGAUAUCGUCUGGAACGCCAAAGGUGAAAACAGACUGCUGGGGCUGUGCUGACGCUGAGACACGAAAGCCAGGGGAGCGAACGGG